AGUCGAACGGCAGCGCGGACUUCGGUCUGGCGGCGAGUGGCGAACGGGUGAGUAAUAUAUCGGAACGUACCCAAGAGUGGGGGAUAACGUAGCGAAAGUUACGCUAAUACCGCAUACGAUCUAAGGAUGAAAGCAGGGGAUCUUCGGACCUUGUGCUCCUGGAGCGGCCGAUAUCUGAUUAGCUAGUUGGUGAGGUAAAGGCUCACCAAGGCAACGAUCAGUAGCUGGUCUGAGAGGACGACCAGCCACACUGGAACUGAGACACGGUCCAGACUCCUACGGGAGGCAGCAGUGGGGAAUUUUGGACAAUGGGGGCAACCCUGAUCCAGCAAUGCCGCGUGAGUGAAGAAGGCCUUCGGGUUGUAAAGCUCUUUUGUCAGGGAAGAAAAGGGUCUGGCUAAUAUCCAGAUCUGCUGACGGUACCUGAAGAAUAAGCACCGGCUAACUACGUGCCAGCAGCCGCGGUAAUACGUAGGGUGCAAGCGUUAAUCGGAAUUACUGGGCGUAAAGCGUGCGCAGGCGGUUUUGUAAGUCUGUCGUGAAAUCCCCGGGCUUAACCUGGGAAUGGCGAUGGAGACUGCAAGGCUUGAGUUUGGCAGAGGGGGGUAGAAUUCCACGUGUAGCAGUGAAAUGCGUAGAGAUGUGGAGGAACACCGAUGGCGAAGGCAGCCCCCUGGGUCAAACUGACGCUCAUGCACGAAAGCGUGGGGAGCAAACAGGAUUAGAUACCCUGGUAGUCACGCCCUAAACGAUGUCUACUAGUGUUGGGUCUAAUUGACUUAGUAACGCAGCUACGCGUGAAGUAGACCGCCUGGGGGAGUACGUCGCAGGAUUAAAACUC
rnacentral:rRNA from 1 species